rnacentral:rRNA from 1 species
GGCGAGUGGCGGGUGCUAUACAUGCGUCGAGCGGACAGAAGGGAGCUUGCUCCCGGAUGUUAGCGGCGGACGGGUGAGUAACACGUGGGUAACCUGCCUGUAAGACUGGGAUAACUCCGGGAAACCGGAGCUAAUACCGGAUAGUUCCUUGAACCGCAUGGUUCAAGGAUGAAAGACGGUUUCGGCUGUCACUUACAGAUGGACCCGCGGCGCAUUAGCUAGUUGGUGAGGUAACGGCUCACCAAGGCGACGAGCGUAGCCGACCUGAGAGGGUGAUCGGCCACACUGGGACUGAGACACGGCCCAGACUCCUACGGGAGGCAGCAGUAGGGAAUCUUCCGCAAUGGACGAAAGUCUGACGGAGCAACGCCGCGUGAGUGAUGAAGGUUUUCGGAUCGUAAAGCUCUGUUGUUAGGGAAGAACAAGUGCAAGAGUAACUGCUUGCACCUUGACGGUACCUAACCAGAAAGCCACGGCUAACUACGUGCCAGCAGCCGCGGUAAUACGUAGGUGGCAAGCGUUGUCCGGAAUUAUUGGGCGUAAAGGGCUCGCAGGCGGUUUCUUAAGUCUGAUGUGAAAGCCCCCGGCUCAACCGGGGAGGGUCAUUGGAAACUGGGAAACUUGAGUGCAGAAGAGGAGAGUGGAAUUCCACGUGUAGCGGUGAAAUGCGUAGAGAUGUGGAGGAACACCAGUGGCGAAGGCGACUCUCUGGUCUGUAACUGACGCUGAGGAGCGAAAGCGUGGGGAGCGAACAGGAUUAGAUACCCUGGUAGUCCACGCCGUAAACGAUGAGUGCUAAGUGUUAGGGGGUUUCCGCCCCUUAGUGCUGCAGCUAACGCAUUAAGCACUCCGCCUGGGGAGUACGGUCGCAAGACUGAAACUCAAAGGAAUUGACGGGGGCCCGCACAAGCGGUGGAGCAUGUGGUUUAAUUCGAA